GGUAAGUAUAUAAAGAAACUAUUACGGAUGAAUAAGCUAUAUAUUAAAGACGAAUUAAAUAAAGUGUUCUUGGAAAAAUCCAUUUUUUAAACGUAGCGAAUUGAAAUAUCUUAGUAGCUUCAGGAAUAAAAAUCAAAUGAGAUUCCAUAAUUAGCUAUAACUGUUAUGGAAAAGCCUUUAAAGUAAAACGGAAAUAAUCUGUUUGAAUUUAGGGAAACCUUUCUCUAAGGCUAAAUAUGAUAUAUAAGCGAUAGCGAAGCAGUACCGUGAGGGAAAUUUUUGAAAUAGUAGUUUUAUAAGCAGCUCAAGUUUAAUUUAAAAGUAUAAUGAGAGCGUACCUUUUGCAUAAUGGGUCAGCAAGUUAAUGUUAGAUGCGAGAUAAGGUUCAGAAAAAAUUAAGGAGUAAAGCUUAAUUUAUUUCUUAGUUAAUGCUAAAAGUAGAUUAAAAAUGAAACCGAAAUGAAUAAGGUAAUUCCUUGUCCUAGAUAAACCAAUUAUUAAUCAAUGAUUAAGUAUCUAAUGUUAGACCCGAAGCCUAGUGAUCUUACCAUGAUCAGGGUUAUAAAGGCCCGAACGGGUUAUCGUUGUAAAGAUAUCCGAUGAAUUGUGGUAAGUUAGUGAAAGACAAAACUGACUAGGAUAGCUGGUUUUCUGCGAAACCUAUAUAAGUAGGUAAUGUAAAUAACAUCAUAGCAGGUACAGAACUGUGAUCUCGGACAAAUUAUGUUG
rnacentral:ncRNA from 1 species